CAGCAGGCGUGAAAACUUUACAAUGCGGGAAACCGUGAUAAGGGGACACCGAGUGUCAGCAUCAUCUGCUGGCUGUCCAGGUGUGUAAAAUACACCUGUUAGCAAGGGCCGGGCAAGACCGGUGCCGGCCGCCGCGGUAACACUGGCGGCUCGAGUGGUCAUCGUGAUUAUUGGGUCCAAAGGGUCCGUAGCCGGUUUGGUCAGUCCUCCGGGAAAUCUGACGGCUCAACCAUUAGGCUAUUGGGGGAUACUUCCAGGCUUGGAACUGGGAGAGGUAAGAGUUACUACAGGUGUCGGAGUGAAAUCUUGUAAUCCCUGUGAGACCACCUGUGGGGAAGGCCUAUCACCAGAACGGGUUUGACGGUGAGGGAAGAAAGAUGGGGGCACGAACCGGAUGAGAUACCCGGGUAGUCCCAACCGUAUAAUCGAUGCUCCCUAGGUGUCAGGCAUGGCGCGACCGCGUCUGGUGCCGCAGGGAAGCCGUGAAGCUAGCCACCUCGGAAGUACGGCCUCAAGGCUGAAAAU
rnacentral:rRNA from 1 species